rnacentral:rRNA from 1 species
ACGAGUUAUGGAAAUUAUACACCCUGUGAACAUACCUAAACGUUGCUUCGGCGGGAACAGACGGCCCCGUAACACGGGCCGCCCCCGCCAGAGGACCCCCUAACUCUGUUUCUAUAAUGUUUCUUCUGAGUAAAACAAGCAAAUAAAUUAAAACUUUCAACAACGGAUCUCUUGGCUCUGGCAUCGAUGAAGAACGCAGCGAAAUGCGAUAAGUAAUGUGAAUUGCAGAAUUCAGUGAAUCAUCGAAUCUUUGAACGCACAUUGCGCCCGCCAGUAUUCUGGCGGGCAUGCCUGUUCGAGCGUCAUUACAACCCUCAGGCCCCCGGGCCUGGCGUUGGGGAUCGGCGGAGCCCCCCGCGGGCACACGCCGUCCCCCAAAUACAGUGGCGGUCCCGCCGCAGCUUCCAUUGCGUAGUAGCUAACACCUCGCAACUGGAGAGCGGCGCGGCCACGCCGUAAAACCCCCAACUUCUGAACGUGACCUCGAAAUCAGGUAGGAAUACC